rnacentral:rRNA from 1 species
AGAGCAUCGGGUGGAUGCCUUGGCGUCGGAAGGCGAUGAAAGACGUGGUAAGCUGCGAAAAGCCUCGGGGAGAAGCUAAACAUUCUGUGAUCCGGGGAUGUCUGAAUGGGGAAACCCGGCGGAGGUCAUGCUCCGUCGCGGGCACUUGAAUACAUAAAGUGCCCAGCGCCAACUCAGGGAAGUGAAACAUCUCAGUACCUGAAGGAAAAGAAAUCAAACGAGACUCCCAAAGUAGCGGCGAGCGAAAUGGGAUGAGCCCAAACCGGCUGGAUUCGUUCAGCCGGGGUUGUAGGGCCGGCAUAGGUGAUUCAUGAGUAGGCAGGGGAAAUGAGCUGGAAAGCUCUGCCGGAGCGGGUGACAGCCCCGUACCUGAAACCGAAAGCGACACAGCCGGUACCUGAGUACCGCGAGACACGUGGAACCUCGUGGGAAUCCGGGAGGACCAUCUUCCAAGGCUAAGUACUAACCGACGACCGAUAGUGUACCAGUACCGUGAGGGAAAGGUGAAAAGAACCUCUGUCAGAGGAGUGAAAGAGAAUCUGAAACCUGGUGCUUACAAGCUGUGAGAGCGGACUUGUUCCGUGAUCACGUGCCUUUUGCAUAAUGAGUCAGCGAGUUAAUCUGUACUGCAAGGUUAAGCGUGAGUGGAGCCGUAGGGAAACCGAGUCUGACAAGGGCGACGAGUAGUGCGGAUUAGACCCGAAACCGGGUGAUCUAUCCAUGAGCAGGUUGAAGCAAGGGUAAAACCUUGUGGAGGACCGAACCAAUACCGGCUGAAAACGGUUUGGAUGACUUGUGGAUAGGGGUGAAAGGCCAAUCAAACCCGGUGAUAGCUGGUUCUCCCCGAAAUAUAUUGAGGUAUAGCCUCAUGGAUUGUCUGCCGGAGGUAAAGCACUGACAGGGCUAGGGGUCCUACCAGAUUACCAAACCCUAUCAAACUCAGAAUGCCGGUCAGAUGUACCAUGGGAGUCAGACGGCGGGUGCUAAGGUCCGUCGUCGAGAGGGUAAGAGCCCAGAUCAACAGCUAAGGUCUCCAAAUCCAUGCUCAGUGGUUAAGGUGGUGACGUUGUAGAGACACCCAGGACGUUGGCUUAGAAGCAGCCAUCGUUUAAAGAAAGCGUAAUAGCUCACUGGUCUAAUGACGUUGCGCCGAAAAUGUAACGGGGCUAAGCAUAGUACCGAAGCUUUGAAUUCCGCGUAAGCGGUCUGGUAGGGGAGCGUUCUUCACGGGCUGAAGGUGUGUCGCAAGGCAUGCUGGACUGUGGAGAAGUGAUUAUGCUGACAUGAGUAACGAUAAAACGGGUGAAAAACCCGUUCGCCGUAAACCCAAGGUUUUCCGGGUAAAGGUAAUCUUCCCGGAGUUAGUCGGCCCCUAAGGCGAGGCUGAAAGGCGUAGCUGAUGGGAAACGUGUUAAUAUUCACGUACUUGUGUGUUCGCGCGAUGAAGGGACGCAGGAAGAUAGGCAAGCCGGGUGCUGGUUGUCCCGGUGCAAGCGUGUAGGGAUGAGGAGCUGGCAAAUCCGCUUCUCUCUAUCCUGAGACGCGAGUCCGUGCCCGCAAGGGCUGAAGUUGUCGAGUCUAUGCUGCCUAGAAAAGCUUCUAAGUAUAGGACACGCAAACCGUACCGGAAACCAACUCAGGUGGGUGGGAUGAAUAAUCCAAGGCGCUCGAGAGAACUCUGGCCAAGGAACUCGGCAAAAUAACCCCGUACCUUCGGAAGAAGGGGUGCUUUUUAGGGUGAAACGAUUCACUCUGUCGAGCCCUGAAAAGCCGCAGAGAAAUGGUGGUGGCGACUGUUUACUAAAAACAUAGGUCUGUGCCAAGUCGUAUAGACGACGUAUACGGACUGACGCCUGCCCGGUGCUGGAAGGUUAAAAGGAGGAGUCAGCGCAAGCGAAGCUCCGAAUUGAAGCCCCAGUAAACGGCGGCCGUAACUAUAACGGUCCUAAGGUAGCGAAAUUCCUUGUCGGGUAAGUUCCGACCUGCACGAAUGGCGUAACGAUCUCCACACUGUCUCGGCCAGAGACUCGGUGAAAUUGAAGUCGCGGUGAAAAUGCCGUGUACCCGCAGAAAGACGGAAAGACCCUGUGCACCUUUACUAUAGCUUGACAUUGGGAUUUGAGCCUGCAUGUGUAGCAUAGGUGGGAGGCUGUGAACCCUGUACGCCAGUAUGGAGGGAGCCAUCGUUGAAAUACCACCCUUCGUUUGUUCAGGUCCCUAACUCUUCGCCGUUACCCGGUAAGAGGACAGUGU